rnacentral:rRNA from 1 species
AUUGAACGCUGGCGGCAGGCCUAACACAUGCAAGUCGAACGAGUGGCGGACGGGUGAGUAAGGCCUGGGCACCUGCCUAGUGGAGGGGGAUAACUACGGGAAACGGUAUCUAAUACCCCAUACCAUCAGAUUUGCCCAGAUGGGAUUAGCUUGUUGGUGGGGUAACGGCUCACCAAGGCGACGAUCCCUAGCUGGUCUGAGAGGAUGACCAGCCACACUGGAACGGAGACACGGUCCAGACUCCUACGGGAGGCAGCAGUGGGGAAUAUUGCACAAUGGGCGCAAGCCUGAUACAGCCAUGCCGCGUGGAUGAAGAAGGCCUUCGGGUUGUAAAGUACUUUCAGCGGGGAGGCGUUACCCGCAGAAGAAGCACCGGCUAACUCCGUGCCAGCAGCCGCGGUAAUAC